AUUGAACGCUGGCGGCAUGCUUUACACAUGCAAGUCGAACGGUAACAGGCCUUCGGGUGCUGACGAGUGGCGAACGGGUGAGUAAUGCAUCGGAACGUACCCAGAGGUGGGGGAUAACGCAGCGAAAGCUGUGCUAAUACCGCAUGUGAUCUGAGGAUGAAAGCGGGGGACCGCGCAGCAAUGUUUGGCCUCGCGCCUUUGGAGCGGCCGAUGUCGGAUUAGCUAGUUGGUGGGGUAAAGGCCUACCAAGGCGACGAUCCGUAGCUGGUCUGAGAGGACGACCAGCCACACUGGGACUGAGACACGGCCCAGACUCCUACGGGAGGCAGCAGUGGGGAAUAUUGGACAAUGGGCGCAAGCCUGAUCCAGCAAUGCCGCGUGCGGGAAGAAGGCCUUCGGGUUGUAAACCGCUUUUGGCAGGAACGAAACGGUGUCCGCUAAUACCGGGCGCUAAUGACGGUACCUGCAGAAUAAGCACCGGCUAACUACGUG
rnacentral:rRNA from 1 species